rnacentral:ribozyme from 11 species
ACCUCCCUUGAGUAAGAGAAAGGGAGGGGAGAAUGGGGGGGUGAGACCGCGCAAUGGGCUGGGCACCGAUCGCAGAAGCUAAGCCUCUUCCUGAGCAAAGAGGCAG